GAGGGAUGCAACACGAGGACUUCCCAGGAGGUCACCCAUCGUAGUACUACUCUCGCCCACGCACGCUUAACUGCGGAGUUCUGAUGGGAUACGGUGUAUUAGUGCUGGUAUGAUCGCAUCUGUUAGUAUAUGCAAUGCAAUUGUAUAUAUUGUUUUUUGAAGACUUGAUGAACCAUUCGCCGUGGGUCCCACCCGCUAUGUAGGGAUACCCCAUCUAGUCUUAACGAGCUUUGAUGCGUCAAAAAAAUCUAAAACAAUGCUUGAACAAGUAAUUUUGGGUCCGUACUAUAGCCCAAAUCACAAUAAUGCCCGAAAAAGUACUUAAAUGUCAAAAUUUGGGAUCGACAAAAAGUCAAUGGAAAGGUUCCAUUGUCCUGCUUCUUUCGUCGGAGGGCUCUCUUUGGGCUUUCCAAAAAGGUAUCACAUGCUAAGGUUGGCCUCACGGUAUAAAAGUUAUAGAGUCAUAAAGUUUUACCAAAAAAAAAACAAAUUAAAAAAAAGAGGGAUGCAACACGAGGACUUCCCGGGAGGUCACCCAUCCUGGAACAACUCUCGCUCAAGCACGCUUAACUAAAGGUCAAAAUUUGGAGUCGACAAAAAAUCAAUGGAUAUGUUCCAUUGUCCGACUUCUUUCAUCAGAGGACUCACUUUGGGCUUUACGAAAAGGUAUCACAUGCCAAGUUUGGCCUCACUGUAUAAAUGUUAUAGAGUCAUAAAGUUUUAAUCAAAAAAAACAAUUAAAAAAAAAGAGGGAUGAAACAUGAGGACUUCCCGCGAGGUCACCCAUCCUAGUACUACUCUCACCCAAGCACGCUUAACUGCGGUGUUCUGAUGGGAUUCGGUGUAUUAGUGCUUGUAUGAUCGUAUCCGUUAGUAUAUGCAAUGCAAUCGUAUAUAUUCUUUUUUGAAGACUUGAUGAACCAUUCGCCAUGGGUUCCACCCGCUAUGUAGGGAUACCCCAUCUAUUCUUAACGAGCUUUGAUGCAUGAAAAAAUUCUAAAACAAUGCUUGAACAAGUAAUUUUGGGUCCGUAAUAUAGCCCAAAUCACAAAAAUGCUCGAAAGAGUACUUAAAGGUCAAAAUUUGGGGUCGACAAAAAGUCAAUGGAAAAGUUUCUUUAUCCUGCUUCUUUCGUCGGAGGGUUCUCUUUGGGCUUUACGAAAAAGUAUCACAUGCCAAGUUUGGCCUCACGGUAUAAAAGUUAUAGAGUCAUAAAGUUUUAACCAAAAAAAACAAAUUAAAAAAAAAGAGGGAUGCAACACGAGGACUUCCCGGGAGGUAACCCAUCCUAGUACUACUCUCUCCCAAGCACGCGUAACUAAAGGUCAAAAUUUAGAGUUGACAAAAUAUCAAUGGAUAUGUUCCAUUGUCCUGCUUCUUUCAUCGGAUGGCUCUCUUUGGGCUUUUCGAAAAGGUAUCAUAUGCCAAGUUUGGCCUCACUGUAUAAAAGUUAUAGAGUCAUAAAGUUUUAACCAAAGAAAAAAAUUAAAAAAAAAGAGGGAUGCAACACGAGGACUUUCCAGGAGGUCACCCAUCGUAGUACUACUCUCGCCCAAGCACGCUUAACUGCGGAGUUCUGAUGGGAUCCGGUGUAUUAGUGCUGGUAUGAUCGCAUCCGUUAGUAUAUGCAAUGCAAUCGUAUAUAUUCUUUUUUGAAGACUUGAUGAACCAUUCGCCGUGGGUCCCACACGCUAUGUAGGGAUACCCCAUCUAGUCUUAACGAGCUUUGAUGCGUGAAAAAAUUCUAAAACAAUGCUUGAACAAGUAAUUUUGGGUCCGUAAUAUAGCCCAAAUCACAAAAAUGCCCAAAAAAGUACUUAAAGGUCAAAAUUUGGGGUCGACAAAAAGUCAAUGGAAUUGUUCCAUUGUCCUGCUUCUUUCGUUAGAGGGCUCUAUUUGGGCUUUCCAAAAAGGUAUCACAUGCUAAGGUUUGCCUCACGGUAUGAAAGUUAUAGUCAUAAAGUUUUAACCAAAAAAAAACAAAUUAAAAAAAAGAGGGAUGCAACACGAGGACUUCCCGGGAGGUCACCCAUCCUAGAACAACUCUCCCCCAAACACGCUUAACUAAAGGUCAAAAUUUGGAGUCGACAAAAAAUCAAUGGAUAUGUUCCAUUGUCCUGCUUCUUUCAUUUGAGGGCUCUCUUUGGGCUUUACGAAAAGGUAUCAAAUGCCAAGUUUGGCCUCACUGUAUAAAAGUUAUAGAGUCAUAAAUUUUAAUCAAAGAAAAAAAUUAAAAAAAAAAAGAGGGAUGAAACACGAGGACUUCCCGGGAGGUCAACCAUCCUAGUACUACUCUCACCCAAGCACGCUUAACUGCGGUGUUCUGAUGGGAUCCGGUGUAUUAGUGCUUGUAUGAUCGCAUCCGUUAGUAUAUGCAAUGCAAUCGUAUAUAUUCUUUUUUGAAGACUUGAUGAACCAUUCGCCAUGGGUUCCAUCCGCUAUGUAGGGAUACCCCAUCUAUUCUUAACGAGAUUUGAUGCAUGAAAAAAUUCUAAAACAAUGCUUAAACAAGUAAUUUUAGGUCCGUAAUAUUGCCCAAAUCACAAAAAUGCUCGAAAGAGUACUUAAAGGUCAAAAUUUGGGGUCGACAAAAAGUCAAUGGAAAAGUUCCUUUGUCCUGCUUCUUUCGUCGGAGGGCUCUCUUUGGGCUUUACGAAAAGGUAUCACAUGCCAAGUUUUGCCUCACAGUAUAAAAGUUAUUGAGUCAUAAAGUUUUAACCAAAAAAAACAAAUUAAAAAAAAGAGGGAUGCAACACGAGGACUUCCCGGGAGGUCAUCAUCCCAGUACUACUCUCCCCCAAGCACGCUUAACUAAAGGUCAAAAUUUGGAGUUGACAAAAAAUCAAUGGAUAUGUUCCAUUGUCCUGCUUCUUUCAUCGGAGGGCUCUCUUUGGGCUUUUCGAAAAGGUAUCACAUGUCAAGUUUGGCCUCACUAUAUAAAAGUUCUAGAGUCAUAAAGUUUUAACCAAAGAAAAAAAUUAAAAAAAAAGAGGGAUGCAACACGAGGACUUCCCAGGAGGUCACCCAUCGUAGUUCUACUCUCGUCCAAGCACGCUUAACUGCGGAGUUCUGAUGGGAUCCGGUGUAUUAGUGCUUGUAUGAUCGCAUCCGUUAGUAUAUGCAAUGCAAUCGUAUAUAUUCUUUUUUGAAGACUUGAUGAACCAUUCGCCAUGGGUUCCACCCGCUAUGUAGGGAUACCACAUCUAUUCUUAACGAGCUUUGAUGCAUGAAAAAAAUCUAAAACAAUGCUUGAACGUGUAAUUUUGGGUCCGUAAUAUAGCCCAAAUCACAAAAAUGCUCGAAAGAGUACUUAAAGGUCAAAACUUAGGGUCGACAAAAAGUCAAUGGAAAAGUUCCUUUGUCCUGCUUCUUUCGUCGGAGGGCUCUAUUUGGGCUUUCCAAAAAGGUAUCACAUGCUAAGGUUGGCCUCACGGUAUAAAAGUUAUAGAGUCAUAAAGUUUUAACCAAAAAAAGACAAAUUAAAAAAAAGAGGGAUGCAACACGAGAAUUUCCCGGGAGGUCACCCAUCCUAGAACAACUCUCGCCCAAGCGCGGUUAACUAAAGGUCAAAAUUUGGAGUCGACAAAAAAUCAAUGGAUAUGUUCCAUUGUCCUGCUUCUUUCAUUUGAGGGCUCUCUUUGGGCUUUACGAAAAGGUAUCACAUGUCAAGUUUGGCCUCACUAUAUAAAAGUUAUAGAGUCAUAAAGUUUUAAUCAAAGAAAAAAAUAAAAAAAAAAUAGAGGGAUGAAACACGAGGACUUCCUGUGAGGUCACCCAUCCUAGAACUACUCUCACCCAAGCACGCUUAACUGCGAUGUCCUGAUGGGAUCCGGUGUAUUAGUGCUUGUAUGAUCGCAUCCGUUAGUAUAUGCAAUGCAAUCGUAUACCUUUUUUUUUGAAGACUUGAUAAACCAUUCGCCAUGGGUUCCACCCGCUAUGUAGGGAUACCCCAUCUAUUCUUAACGAGCUUUGAUGCAUGAAAAAAUUCUAAAACAAUGCUUGAACAAGUAAUUUUGGGUCCGUAAUAUAGCCCAAAUCACAAAAAUGCCCGAAAAAGUGCUUAAAGGUCAAAAUUUGGGGUCGACAAAAAGUCAAUGGAAAUGUUCCAUUGUUCUGCUUCUUUCGUCGGAGGGCUAUCUUUGGGCUUUCCAAAAAGGUAUCACAUCCCAAGUUUGGCCUCACGGUUUAAAAGUUAUAGAGUCAUAAAGUUUUAACAAAAAAAAACAAAUUAAAAAAAAAGAGGGAUGCAACACGAGGACUUCCCGGGAGGUCACCCAUCCUAGAACAACUCUCGCCCAAGCGCGGUUAACUAAAGGUCAAAAUUUGGAGUCGACAAAAAAUCAAUGGAUAUGUUCCAUUGUCCUGCUUCUUUCAUUUGAGGGCUCUCUUUGGGCUUUACGAAAAGGUAUCACAUGUCAAGUUUGGCCUCACUGUAUAAAAGUUAUAGAGACAUAAAGUUUUAAUCAAAGAAAAAAAUAAAAAAAAAAUAGAGGGAUGAAACACGAGGACUUCCUGUGAGGUCACCCAUCCUAGAACUACUCUCACCCAAGCACGCUUAACUGCGAUGUCCUGAUGGGAUCCGGUGUAUUAGUGCUUGUAUGAUCGCAUCCGUUAGUAUAUGCAAUGCAAUCGUAUACCUUUUUUUUUGAAGACUUGAUAAACCAUUCGCCAUGGGUUCCACCCGCUAUGUAGGGAUACCCCAUCUAUUGUUAACGAGCUUUGAUGCAUGAAAAAAUUCUAAAACAAUGCUUGAACAAGUAAUUUUGGGUCCGUAAUAUAGCCCAAAUCACAAAAAUGCCCGAAAAAGUGCUUAAAGGUCAAAAUUUGGGGUCGACAAAAAGUCAAUGGAAAUGUUCCAUUGUUCUGCUUCUUUCGUCGGAGGGCUAUCUUUGGGCUUUCCAAAAAGGUAUCACAUCCCAAGUUUGGCCUCACGGUUUAAAAGUUAUAGAGUCAUAAAGUUUUAACAAAAAAAAACAAAUUAAAAAAAAAGAGGGAUGCAACACGAGGACUUCCCGGGAGGUCACCCAUCCUAGAACAACUCUCGCCCAAGCGCGGUUAACUAAAGGUCAAAAUUUGGAGUCGACAAAAAAUCAAUGGAUAUGUUCCAUUGUCCUGCUUCUUUCAUUUGAGGGCUCUCUUUGGGCUUUACGAAAAGGUAUCACAUGUCAAGUUUGGCCUCACUGUAUAAAAGUUAUAGAGACAUAAAGUUUUAAUCAAAGAAAAAAAUAAAAAAAAAAUAGAGGGAUGAAACACGAGGACUUCCUGUGAGGUCACCCAUCCUAGAACUACUCUCACCCAAGCACGCUUAACUGCGAUGUCCUGAUGGGAUCCGGUGUAUUAGUGCUUGUAUGAUCGCAUCCGUUAGUAUAUGCAAUGCAAUCGUAUACCUUUUUUUUUGAAGACUUGAUAAACCAUUCGCCAUGGGUUCCACCCGCUAUGUAGGGAUACCCCAUCUAUUGUUAACGAGCUUUGAUGCAUGAAAAAAUUCUAAAACAAUGCUUGAACAAGUAAUUUUGGGUCCGUAAUAUAGCCCAAAUCACAAAAAUGCCCGAAAAAGUGCUUAAAGGUCAAAAUUUGGGGUCGACAAAAAGUCAAUGGAAAUGUUCCAUUGUCCUGCUUCUUUCGUCGGAGGGCUAUCUUUGGGCUUUCCAAAAAGGUAUCACAUCCCAAGUUUGGCCUCACGGUUUAAAAGUUAUAGAGUUAUAAAGUUUUAACCAAAAAAAAACAAAUUAAAAAAAAAGGAUGCAACACGAGGACUUCCCGGGAGGUCACCCAUCCUAGAACAACUCUCGCCCAAGCACGCUUAACUAAAGGUCAAAAUUUGGAGUCGACAAAAAAUCAAUGGAUAAGUUCCAUUGUCCUGCUUCUUUCAUCGGAGGGCUCUCUUUGGGCUUUCCGAAAAGGUAUCACAUGCCAAGUUUGGCCUCACUCUAUAAGAGUUAUAGAGUCAUAAACUUUUAACCAAAGAAAAAAAAGGGAUGAAACACGAGGACUUCCCGGGAAGUCACCCAUCCUAGUAUUACUCUCACCCAAGCACGGUUAAUUGCGGAGUUCUGAUGGGAUCCGGUGUAUUAGUGCUGGUAUGAUCGCAUCCGUUAGUAUAUGCAAUGCAAUCGUAUAUAUUCUUUUUUGAAAACUUGAUGAACCGUUCACCAUAGGUUCCACCCGCUGUGUAGGGAUACCUCAUCUAGUCUUAACGAGCUUUGAUGCAUGGAAAAAUUCUAAAACAAUGCUUGAACAAGUAAUUUUGGGUCCGUAAUAUAGCCCAAAUCACAAAAAUACCCGAAGAAGUACUUAAAGGUCAAAAUUUGGGGUCGACAAAAAGUCAAUGGAAAAGUUCCUUUGUCCUGCUUCUUUCGUCGGAGGGCUCUCUUUGGGCUUUCCGAAAAGGUAUCACAUGCCAAGUUUGGCCUCACGGUAUAAAAGUUAUAGAGUCAUAAAGUUUUAACCAAAAAAAACAAAUUAAAAAAAAAGAGGGAUGCAACACGAGGACUUCCCGGGAGGUCUCCCAUCCUAAUACUACUCUCGCCCAAGCCCGCUUAACUGCGGAGUUCUGAUGGGAUCCGGUGUAUUAGUGCUGGUAUGAUCGCAUCCGUUAGUAUAUGCAAUGCAAUCUUAUAUAUUCUUUUUUGAAGACUUGAUGAACCAUUCUUCGUGGGUCCCACCCGCUGUGUAGGGAUACCCCAUCUAGUCUUAACGAGCUUUGCUGCAUUGAAAAAAUUCUAAAACAAUGCUUGAACAAGUAAUCUUGGGUCCGUAAUAUAUCCCAAAUCACAAAAAUACCCGAAAAAGUACUUAAAGGUCAAAAUUUGGGGUCGACAAAAAGUCAAUGGAAAAGUUCCUUUGUCCUGCUUCUUUCGUCGGAGGGCUCUCUUUGGGCUUUCCGAAAAGGUAUCACAUGUCAAGUUUGGCCUCACGGUAUAAAAGUUAUAGAGUCAUAAAGUUUUAACCAAAAAAAACAAAUUAAAAACAAAGAGGGAUACAACACGAGGACUUCUCGGGAGGUCACCCAUCCUAGUACUACUCUCGCCCAAGCACGCUUAACUAAAGGUCAAAAUUUGGAGUCGACAAAAAGUCAAUGGAUAUGUUCCAUUGUCCUGCUACUUUCAUCGUAGGGCUCUCUUUGAGCUUUUCGAAAAGGUAUCACAUGCCAAGUUUGGCCUGACGGUAUAAAAGUUAUAGAGUCAUAAAGUUUUAACCAAUAAAAAAAAUUAAAAAAAAAGAGUGAUGCAACACAAAGACUUCCCGGGAGGUCACCCAUCCUAGUACUACUCUCGCCCAAGCCCGCUUAACUGCGGAGUUCUGAUGGGAUCCGGUGUAUUAGUGCUGCUAUGAUCUUAUCUGUUAGUAUAUGCAAUGCAAUCGUAUAUAUUCUUUUUGGAAGAAUUGAUGAACCAUUCGCCGUGGGUCCCACCCGCUGUGUAGGGAUACCCCAUCUAGUCUUAACGAGCUUUGAUGCAUGAUAAAAUUCUAAAACAAUGCUUGAACAAGUAAUUUUGGAUCCGUAAUAUAGCCCAAAUCACAAAAAUACCCGAAAAAGUACUUAAAGGUCAAAAUUUGGGGUCGACAAAAAGUCAAUGAAAAAGUUCCUUUGUCCUGCUUCUUUCGUCGGAGGGCUCUCUUUGGGCUAUUCGAAAAGGUAUCACAUGCCAAGUUUGGCCUCACGGUAUAAAAGUUAUAGAGUCCUAAAGUUUUAACCAAAAAAAACAAAUUAAAAAAAAAGAGGGAUGCAACACGAGGACUUCCCGGGAGGUCACCCAUCCUAGUACUACUCUCGCCCAAGCACGCUUAACUAAAUGUCAAAAUUUGGAGUCGACAAAAAAUCAAUUGAUAUGUUCCAUUGUCCUGCUACUUUCAUCGGAGGGCUCUCUUUGGGCUUUCCGAAAAUGUAUCACAUGCCAAGUUUGGCCUCACUGUAUAAAAGUUAUACAGUCAUAAAGUUUUAACCAAAGAAAAAUAUUUAAAAAAAACGGAUGCAACACGAGGACUUCCCUGAGGUCACCAAUCCUAGUACUACUCUCGCCCAAGCACGCUUAACUACGGAGUUUUGAUGGGAUCUGGUGUAUUAGUGCUGGUAUAAUCUCAUCCGUUAGUAUAGGCAAUGCAAUGGUGUAUAUUCUUUUUUGAAGACUUGAUGAACCAUUCGUCGUGGGUCCCACCCGCUGUGUAGGGAUACCCCAUCUAGUCUUAACGAGCUUUGAUCAUGAAAAAAAUUCUAAAACAAUGCUUGAACAAGUAAUUUUGGGUCCGUAAUAUAGCCCAAAUCCCAAAAUACCCGAAAAAGUACUUAAAGGUCAAAAUUUGGGAUCGACAAAAAGUCAAUGGAAAAGUUCGUUUGUCCUGCUUCUUUCGUCGGAGGGCUCUCUUUGGGCUUUCCGAAAAGGUAUCACAUGCCAAGUUUGGCCUCACGGUAUAAAAGUUAUAGAAUCAUAAAGUUUUAACCAAAAAAAACAAAUUAAAAAAAAAGAGGGAUGCAACACGAGGACUUCCCGGGAGGUCACCCAUCCUAGUACUACUCUCGCCCAAGCACGCUUAACUAAAGGUUAAAAUUUGGAGUCGACAAAAAAUCAAUGGAUAUGUUCCAUUGUCCUGCUUCUUUCAUCGGAGAGCUCUCUUUGGGCUUUCCGAAAAGGUAUCACAUGCCAAGUUUGGCCUCACUGUAUAAAAGUUAUAGAGUCAUAAAGUUUUAACCAAUGAAAAAAAUUAAAAAAAAAGAGGGAUGCAACACGAGGACUUCCCGGGAGGUCACCCAUCCUAGUACUACUCUCGCCCAAGCCCCCUUAACUGCGGAGUUCUGAUGGGAUCCGGUGUAUUAGUGUUGGUAUGAUCUUAUCUGUUAGUAUAUGCAAUGCAAUCGUAUAUAUUCUUUUUGGAAGAAUUGAUGAACCAUUCGCCGUGGGUCCCACCCGCUGUGUAGGGAUACCCCAACUAGUCUUAACGAGCUUUGAUGCAUGAAAAAAUUCUAAAACAAUGCUUGAACAAGUUAUUUUGGGUCCGUAAUCUAGCCCAAAUCACAAAAAUGCCCGAAAAAGUACUUAAAGGUCAAAAUUUGUGGUCGGCAAAAAGUCAAAGGAAAAGUUCGUUUGUCCUGUUUCUUUCGUCGGAGGGUUCUCUUUGGGAUUUCCGAAAAGGUAUCACAUGCCUAGUUUGGCCUCACGGUAUAAAAGUUAUAGAGUCAUAAAGUUUUAACCAAAAAAAACAAAUUAAAAAAAAAGAGGGAUGCAACACGAGGACUUCCCGGGAGGUCACCCAUCCUAGUACAAUAUUCGCCCAAGCACGCUUAACUGCGGAGUUCUGAUGGGAUCUCGUGUAUUAGUGCUGGUAUGAUCGCAUACGUUAGUAUAUGCAAUGCAAUCGUAUAUAUUCUUUUUUGAAGACUUGAUGAACCAUUCGUCGUGGGUCGCACCCGCUAUGUAGGAUACCCCAUCUAGUCUUAACGAGCUUUGAAGCAUGAAAAAAUUCUAAAACAAUGAUUGAACAAGUAAUUUUGUGUCCGUAAUAUAGCCCAAAUCACAAAUAUGCCCGAAAAAGUACUUAAAGGUCAAAAUUUGGGAUCGACAAAAAGUCAAUAAAAUUGUUCCAUUGUCCUGCUUCUUUCGUCGGAGGGCUCUCUUUACGCUUUCCGAAAAGAUAUCACAUGCCAAGUUUGGCCUCACGGUAUAAAAAUUAUAGAGUCAUAAAGUUUUAACCAAAAAAAACAAUUUAAAAAAAAAGAAGGAUGAAACACGAGGGCUUCCCGGGAGGUCACCCAUCCUAGUACUACUCUCGCCCAAGCACGCUUAACUAAAGGUCAAAAUUUAGAGUCGACAAAAAAUCAAUGGAUAUGUUCCAUUGUCCUGCUUCUUUCAUCAGAGGGCUCUCUUUGGGCUUUCCGAAAAGGUAUCACAUGCCAAGUUUGGCCUCACUGUUUAAAAGUUGUAGAGUCAUAAAGUUUUAACCAAUGAAAAAAAUUUUUAAAAAAAGAGGGAUGCAACACGAGGACUUCCCAGGAGGUCACCCAUCCUAAUACUACUCUCGCUCAAGCACACUUAACUGCGGAGUUCUGAUGGGAUCCGGUGUAUUAGUGCUGGUAUGAUCUCAUCUGUUAGUAUAUGCAAUGCAAUCGUAUAUAUUCUUUUUGAAAGAAUUGAUGAACCUUCGCCGUGGGUCCCACCCGCUGUAUAGGGACACCCCAUCUAGUCUUAACGAGCUUUGAUGCAUAAAAAAAUUCUAAAACAAUGCUUUAACAAGUAAUUUUGGGUCCGUAAUAUAGCCCAAAUCACAAAAAUGCGCGAAAAAGUAUUUAAAGGUCAAAAUUUGGGUUCGACAAAAAGUCAAUGGAAAAGUUCGUUUGUCGUGCUUCUUUCGUCGGAAGGCUCUCUUUGGGAUUUCCGAAAAGGUAGCACAUGCCUAGUUUGGCCUCACGGUAUAAAAGUUAUAGAGUUAUAAAGUUUUAACCAAAAAAAACAAAUUAAAAAAAAAGAGGGAUGCAACACGAGGACUUCCCGGGAGGUCUCCCAUCCUAAUACUACUCUCGCCCAAGCCCGCUUAACUGCGGAGUUCUGAUGGGAUCCGGUGUUUUAGUGCUGGUAUGAUCGCAUCCGUUAGUAUAUGCAAUGCAAUCUUAUAUAUUCUUUUUUGAAGACUUGAUGAACCAUUCUUCGUGGGUCCCACCCGCUGUGUAGGGAUACCCCAUCUAGUCUUAACGAGCUUUGCUGCAUUGAAAAAAUUCUAAAACAAUGCUUGAACAAGUAAUCUUUGGUCCGUAAUAUAUCCCAAAUCACAAAAAUACCCGAAAAAGUACUUAAAGGUCAAAAUUUGGGGUCGACAAAAAGUCAAUGGAAAAGUUCCUUUGUCCUGCUUCUUUCGUCGGAGGGCUCUCUUUGGGCUUUCCGAAAAGGUAUCACAUGUCAAGUUUGGCCUCACGGUAUAAAAGUUAUAGAGUCAUAAAGUUUUAACCAAAAAAAACAAAUUAAAAACAAAGAGGGAUACAACACGAGGACUUCUCGGGAGGUCACCCAUCCUAGUACUACUCUCGCCCAAGCACGCUUAACUAAAGGUCAAAAUUUGGAGUCGACAAAAAGUCAAUGGAUAUGUUCCAUUGUCCUGCUACUUUCAUCGUAGGGCUCUCUUUGAGCUUUUCGAAAAGGUAUCACAUGCCAAGUUUGGCCUGACGGUAUAAAAGUUAUAGAGUCAUAAAGUUUUAACCAAUAAAAAAAAUUAAAAAAAAAGUGUGAUGCAACACGAAGACUUCCCGGGAGGUCACCCAUCCUAGUACUACUCUCGCCCAAGCCCGCUUAACUGCGGAGUUCUGAUGGGAUCCGGUGUAUUAGUGCUGCUAUGAUCUUAUCUGUUAGUAUAUGCAAUGCAAUCGUAUAUAUUCUUUUUGGAAGAAUUGAUGAACCAUUCGCCGUGGGUCCCACCCGCUGUGUAGGGAUACCCCAUCUAGUCUUAACGAGCUUUGAUGCAUGAUAAAAUUCUAAAACAAUGCUUGAACAAGUAAUUUUGGAUCCGUAAUAUAGCCCAAAUCACAAAAAUACCCGAAAAAGUACUUAAAGGUCAAAAUUUGGGGUCGACAAAAAGUCAAUGAAAAAGUUCCUUUGUCCUGCUUCUUUCGUCGGAGGGCUCUCUUUGGGCUAUUCGAAAAGGUAUCACAUGCCAAGUUUGGCCUCACGGUAUAAAAGUUAUAGAGUCCUAAAGUUUUAACCAAAAAAAACAAAUUAAAAAAAAAGAGGGAUGCAACACGAGGACUUCCCGGGAGGUCACCCAUCCUAGUACUACUCUCGCCCAAGCACGCUUAACUAAAUGUCAAAAUUUGGAGUCGACAAAAAAUCAAUUGAUAUGUUCCAUUGUCCUGCUACUUUCAUCGGAGGGCUCUCUUUGGGCUUUCCGAAAAUGUAUCACAUGCCAAGUUUGGCCUCACUGUAUAAAAGUUAUACAGUCAUAAAGUUUUAACCAAAGAAAAAUAUUAAAAAAAAAGGGAUGCAACACGAGGACUUCCCUGAGGUCACCAAUCCUAGUACUACUCUCGCCCAAGCACGCUUAACUACGGAGUUUUGAUGGGAUCUGGUGUAUUAGUGCUGGUAUAAUCUCAUCCGUUAGUAUAGGCAAUGCAAUGGUGUAUAUUCUUUUUUGAAGACUUGAUGAACCAUUCGUCGUGGGUCCCACCCGCUGUGUAGGGAUACCCCAUCUAGUCUUAACGAGCUUUGAUCAUGAAAAAAAUUCUAAAACAAUGCUUGAACAAGUAAUUUUGGGUCCGUAAUAUAGCCCAAAUCACAAAAUACCCGAAAAAGUACUUAAAGGUCAAAAUUUGGGAUCGACAAAAAGUCAAUGGAAAAGUUCGUUUGUCCUGCUUCUUUCGUCGGAGGGCUCUUUUUGGGCUUUCCGAAAAGGUAUCACAUGCCAAGUUUGGCCUCACGGUAUAAAAGUUAUAGAAUCAUAAAGUUUUAACCAAAAAAAACAAAUUAAAAAAAAAGAGGGAUGCAACACGAGGACUUCCCGGGAGGUCACCCAUCCUAGUACUACUCUCGCCCAAGCACGCUUAACUAAAGGUUAAAAUUUGGAGUCGACAAAAAAUCAAUGGAUAUGUUCCAUUGUCCUGCUUCUUUCAUCGGAGAGCUCUCUUUGGGCUUUCCGAAAAGGUAUCACAUGCCAAGUUUGGCCUCACUGUAUAAAAGUUAUAGAGUCAUAAAGUUUUAACCAAUGAAAAAAAUUAAAAAAAAAGAGGGAUGCAACACGAGGACUUCCCGGGAGGUCACCCAUCCUAGUACUACUCUCGCCCAAGCCCCCUUAACUGCGGAGUUCUGAUGGGAUCCGGUGUAUUAGUGUUGGUAUGAUCUUAUCUGUUAGUAUAUGCAAUGCAAUCGUAUAUAUUCUUUUUGGAAGAAUUGAUGAACCAUUCGCCGUGGGUCCCACCCGCUGUGUAGGGAUACCCCAACUAGUCUUAACGAGCUUUGAUGCAUGAAAAAAUUCUAAAACAAUGCUUGAACAAGUUAUUUUGGGUCCGUAAUCUAGCCCAAAUCACAAAAAUGCCCGAAAAAGUACUUAAAGGUCAAAAUUUGUGGUCGGCAAAAAGUCAAAGGAAAAGUUCGUUUGUCCUGUUUCUUUCGUCGGAGGGUUCUCUUUGGGAUUUCCGAAAAGGUAUCACAUGCCUAGUUUGGCCUCACGGUAUAAAAGUUAUAGAGUCAUAAAGUUUUAACCAAAAAAAACAAAUUAAAAAAAAAGAGGGAUGCAACACGAGGACUUCCCGGGAGGUCACCCAUCCUAGUACAAUAUUCGCCCAAGCACGCUUAACUGCGGAGUUCUGAUGGGAUCUCGUGUAUUAGUGCUGGUAUGAUCGCAUACGUUAGUAUAUGCAAUGCAAUCGUAUAUAUUCUUUUUUGAAGACUUGAUGAACCAUUCGUCGUGGGUCGCACCCGCUAUGUAGGAUACCCCAUCUAGUCUUAACGAGCUUUGAAGCAUGAAAAAAUUCUAAAACAAUGAUUGAACAAGUAAUUUUGUGUCCGUAAUAUAGCCCAAAUCACAAAUAUGCCCGAAAAAGUACUUAAAGGUCAAAAUUUGGGAUCGACAAAAAGUCAAUAAAAUUGUUCCAUUGUCCUGCUUCUUUCGUCGGAGGGCUCUCUUUACGCUUUCCGAAAAGAUAUCACAUGCCAAGUUUGGCCUCACGGUAUAAAAAUUAUAGAGUCAUAAAGUUUUAACCAAAAAAAACAAUUUAAAAAAAAAGAAGGAUGAAACACGAGGACUUCCCGGGAGGUCACCCAUCCUAGUACUACUCUCGCCCAAGCACGCUUAACUAAAGGUCAAAAUUUAGAGUCGACAAAAAAUCAAUGGAUAUGUUCCAUUGUCCUGCUUCUUUCAUCAGAGGGCUCUCUUUGGGCUUUCCGAAAAGGUAUCACAUGCCAAGUUUGGCCUCACUGUUUAAAAGUUGUAGAGUCAUAAAGUUUUAACCAAUGAAAAAAAUUUUUAAAAAAAGAGGGAUGCAACACGAGGACUUCCCAGGAGGUCACCCAUCCUAAUACUACUCUCGCUCAAGCACACUUAACUGCGGAGUUCUGAUGGGAUCCGGUGUAUUAGUGCUGGUAUGAUCUCAUCUGUUAGUAUAUGCAAUGCAAUCGUAUAUAUUCUUUUUGAAAGAAUUGAUGAACCUUCGCCGUGGGUCCCACCCGCUGUAUAGGGACACCCCAUCUAGUCUUAACGAGCUUUGAUGCAUAAAAAAAUUCUAAAACAAUGCUUUAACAAGUAAUUUUGGGUCCGUAAUAUAGCCCAAAUCACAAAAAUGCGCGAAAAAGUAUUUAAAGGUCAAAAUUUGGGUUCGACAAAAAGUCAAUGGAAAAGUUCGUUUGUCGUGCUUCUUUCGUCGGAAGGCUCUCUUUGGGAUUUCCGAAAAGGUAGCACAUGCCUAGUUUGGCCUCACGGUAUAAAAGUUAUAGAGUUAUAAAGUUUUAACCAAAAAAAACAAAUUAAAAAAAAGAGGGAUGCAACACGAGGACUUCCCGGGAGGUCACCCAUCCUAGUACUACUCUCGCCCAAGCACGCUUAACGAAAGGUCAAAAUUUGGAGUCGACAAAAACUCAAUACAUAUGUUCCAUUGUCCUGCUUCUUUCAUCGGAGGGCUUUCUUUGGGCUUUCCGAAAAGGUAUCACAUGCCUAGUUUGGCCUCUCGGUAUAAAAGUUAUAGAGUCAUAAAGUUUUAACCAAAGAAAAAAAUUAAAAAAAAAGAGAGAUACAACACGAGGACUUCCCGGGAGGUCACCCAUCCUAGUACUACUCUCGCCCAAGCAUGCUUAACUGCGGAUUUCUGAUGGGAUCCGGUGUAUUAGUGCUGGUAUGAUCGCAUCCGUUAGUAUAUGCAAUGCAAUCGUAUAUAUUCUUUUUUGAAGACUUGAUGAACCAUUCGCCGUGGGUCGCACCCGCUAUGUAGGGAUACCCCAUCUAGUCUUAACGAGCUUUGAUGCAUGAUAAAAUUCUAAUACAAUGAUUGAACAAGUAAUUUUGGGUCCGUAAUAUAGCCCAAAUCACAAAUAUGACCGAAAAAGUACUUAAAGGUCAAAAUUUGGGAUCGACAAAAAGUCAAUGAAAUUGUUCCAUUGUCCUGCUUCUUUCGUCGGAGGGCUCUCUUUACGCUUUCCGAAAAGGUAUCACAUGCCAAGUUUGGCCUCACGGUAUAUAAGUUAUAGAGUCAUAAAGUUUUAACCAAAAAAAACAAAUUAAAAAAAAAGAAGGAUGCAACACGAGGACUUCCCGGGAGGUCACCCAUCCUAGUACUACUCUCGCCCAAGCACGCUUAACUAAAGGUCAAAAUUUGGAGUCGACAAAAAAUCAAUGGAUAAGUUCCAUUGUCCUGCUUCUUUCAUCGGAAGGCUCUCUUUGGGCUUUCCGAAAAGGUAUCACAUGCCAAGUUUGGCUUGACGGUAUAAAAGUUAUAUAGUCAUAAAGUUUUAACAAAAAAAAAACAAAUUAAAAAAAAAGAGGGAUGCAACACGAGGACUUCUCGGGAGGUCACCCAUCCUAGUACUACUCUCGCCCAAGCACGCUUAACUAAAGGUCAAAAUUUGGAGUCGACAAAAACUCAAUACAUAUGUUCCAUUGUCCUGCUUCUUUCAUCUGAGGGCUCUCUUUGGCUUUCCGAAAAGGUAUCACAUGCCAAGUUUGGCCUCACUAUAUAAAAGUUAUAGAGUCAUAAAGUUUUAACCAAUGAAACAAAUUAAAAAAAACAGAGAGAUGCAACACGAGGACUUCCCGGGAGGUCACCCAUCCUAGUACUACUCUCGCCCAAGCACGCUUAACUGCGGAGUUCUGAUGGGAUCCAGUGUAUUAGUGUUAGUAUGAUCGCAUCC
rnacentral:lncRNA from 1 species